UCAAGUGUGAAUUUGCUUCUCUGCUGAUGAGGCAUGUCCACCACCACCACCAGCCGCCGCCGCCGUGUACGGUGGUCAGCAUUCGAGCCAAGGCGAAAAGAUUCGAUUUCAAAUUAAAGUCAUCAAGACUACUAAUCUUUCCCUUUCGUAAGCUUCUCCAAUUCUCGAUCCGAUUAAAGAUCCACCCAUAUUUAUUGGAAAUCAAAUCCAAACCCGAAUCCUCUCUUCUCUCUAAAACAAAAUCCUUAAACCUCAAAUUCCUGAACAUAAUCAAGAAUUUUCGCCGUAAACGUCACAAAAACAAAGGCAUUGUUGCCCAUAAGAAAUACUUGUUGUAUGGAAGAAAAGGAAGAGGAGGCAGGUGCAUUUGGUUGUGUGCUCUGCUUUUGGCAUGCUUUAUAAUUAUAGUUCAUGUUAUGCAUAAAUAUUAUUUUGUAUGGAAAUAUAUUUGGAAGGCUUGUCGUUAUGCUGCUCCUUAUGGCCUUCUCAACCAUUUUUUCAAGGUGGUCUUCGAUGGUAUUUUACAAUCUUUGAAAACGGGCUAUGAUUUAUACUAUAAUGUUUGAAAAUGACAUCCCAAAGUGAGAUUUCGUGGGAGGACGUGUCAUUUGAUUGUAUUGUAGUUUGAAAAGAAUCAUUUGACUAACACACGCAGGAAUAAUGUCUUUUAAUUUAUCAAUCAAAAAAAAAAAAAGUCUUUUAAACGAUUAAUCAUCAUUAAUUCAUAGGAGAAAUUUGAAAGUUAUUUGCAUUACAUUUCUCUUUUUUGUAAUUUUCUUUGGGAAAGGACUUCGAUUAUUCCACAUGUAUUUGGGGAUAUAACUGUGCAUUUUGAAACAAAUCAACGGUACUGAAUCCGUGAAUAUACUAUGCAACAAUGCGGUUAUGUUUAAA